rnacentral:rRNA from 1 species
AGUGAACGCUGGCGGUAGGCCUAACACAUGCAAGUCGAACGGCAGCACAGUAAGAGCUUGCUCUUACGGGUGGCGAGUGGCGGACGGGUGAGGAAUACAUCGGAAUCUACUUUUUCGUGGGGGAUAACGUAGGGAAACUUACGCUAAUACCGCAUACGACCUACGGGUGAAAGCAGGGGAUCUUCGGACCUUGCGCGAUUGAAUGAGCCGAUGUCGGAUUAGCUAGUUGGCGGGGUAAAGGCCCACCAAGGCGACGAUCCGUAGCUGGUCUGAGAGGAUGAUCAGCCACACUGGAACUGAGACACGGUCCAGACUCCUACGGAGGGCAGAAGUGGGGAAUAUUGGACAAUGGGCGCAGGCCUGAUCCAGCCAUACCGCGUGGGUGAAGAAGGCCUUCGGGUUGUAAAGCCCUUUUGUUGGGAAAGAAAAGCAGCAGGUUAAUACCCCGCUGUUCUGACGGUACCCAAAGAAUAAGCACCGGCUAACUUCGUG